ACAGCUAGAUCCGUCAUCUUGGCUGGAAUUCUUUUAAAAUUGGGAACCUACGGGUUUUUAAGAUUUUUAAUACCCAUGUUUCCUGAAGCGACACUUUGUUUCACUCCUUUCAUUUAUACUCUAAGCGCGAUUGCUAUAAUAUAUACUUCCAUGACCACUUUAAGACAGAUCGAUCUUAAGAAGAUCAUUGCCUACUCCUCAGUAGCCCAUAAGAAUUUGGUGACUAUUGGUAUGUUUAGUCGGGCGGCGGCAGUUAGGUCACCUAUUUUGAGUUAUGGACACACAAGCAAGGCCAAAACAUGUGUGCCGGGCGUGUGACCCAUCAACCUACUAGCAAUAGGGGAGAAAACUUAG
rnacentral:rRNA from 1 species